rnacentral:lncRNA from 1 species
UUUCCACAAAUGUAUUAAAAGGUUAUGCUGUAUUUCAAUGACGAGUAUCAGAUUCUAAUGGUGGUUUAAUAUUCAGGUAGUGGCCCUGUUCACAUGAACAUAUUUAGAGUUUGUGUGAACUCUAAAUAUUUGCAUAUUUAGAAGGUAAAGUACUGAUUAAAAUGGUGUCUACGAUUGCCAGAUAACUGGUUGGGUUUGCUCAAAAAUCUUAAUACAAAGGUAAUUAGCUUAAGUGGAAAUUGAAGCCAUGACCUUCAAUUUAUAAUUUCAUUCGUAUUUGAAUCGUAUCACUUAUAAUUUUCAUUAUAAGCCCUUAGUAUUUCAUAUGUUCUUAUUUUUAACAACCUAUAAUGCAGAUUAUAAAGCAGUUAAGUAACAGUUUAAAGGACUUAACACCAAGUGGAAUGGAGUGGGAACUUGAACUCGGGUCUUAUGUAACUAGGUUCAGUGUACUUUCUGCCUCUGAGAAAACCAACUGCAGCUCCCACAGAUAAGGAGGCCAGCUUUGGCUUUGAUGCCAUGCACUUAGCCUCUUUUAUCCUUGGCCACUUUCUCGAAACCCGGGGCUAAGUAUUCAUUUGUUAGGAUGGCACCACUUCAACAUUUCAACUAUGUUAAAAAUGGGCUAAUCUGUUCCCAACCGAAGUAUCCCAUCCCCCCGCAGUUUCAUUCUCAGGUCUGAAUCACAUCUCAAAAUAUCUUGGCUUGGCUGUGCUCAAAAUGAUUUCUCUCAGAAAGGGGCCCACUCUCUUUCCCAUGAGUGCCUGAACUUGUCACCACCAAAGCCUGCAAUUCUUCCGGCUCUCUCCCUGUGGAACCGGCGAGUAGUGUAAGCACAAUACGCCGGAUAUCUCUGGGUACCAGGGAGUACCAGGCGGCAGUAUUUUCUUCCUCCGAGAUGCUUUUUUCCCUCUCGCCUUCUAUUUUGUGGUGCUGUUCCGUUCUCACGCCAACUCUUCUCUGAUGCUCCUGCCCACUAUUCUCGACCUACAGCUAUUCGGAGAGAGUGCUAAGUGGUCAAGGCAGAGCACUGGAAACCAAAGUGGCAAACAAAGGAUGAGGUUUAAUGUCCCUUCUCACACCAUAGGGAGAGGGAUAGGGAAAGUUAUCCCAAUACCCACGGCUACAGGGCUGUCGACUCUAGAAAAUAAAGUUCAUAGGUUUUUAAAAAAUGUUUAAAGUAAAAACCAAUAUGAAAACAUUUUCUUCAUACUUUCUAAUUCUAAAUAGCUGAAGACAACCAUCAAGGCAUUUUUUCCCAAAAAGCACAGAAGGAGAUUCAAUCAUCAAAUGAGAGGCCUCACUCACCUCUGCAUAUUGGCCCUUAUCCUUUGAAAGAGAAUAAAGUAACAGCUGCUAUUCUUUCAGCCAAGAAAGGGCCACUGGAACAGGUCCAGAAGGAAAGAAAAGAGUGAUGGCAACUGCUGAUUCAAGAAGAUUGUUCUGUUUCAGUUUUUAUUUUAUUUUAGAUGUACCCCUUCUCCACAAUGAGUUUCUCAUACACGCAUCUAAUGAAAGACGCCUGUUCUCAACCCUCCUAGAAUUUCAAGAUGGGCAAACUUACAAGGAAAGCAAGGAUGAGUGCUAAUAUGUACCAUAUUCAUGUGAAUAUAAGUUUUUUUAAUAAGAAAAUCAAACUCUAAAAAUACAAUAUACUUCAUAAUUACAGAUUGAAAAAUGGGGCCGUGUGUCCUAGGCAGCUGCCCACUGCUGAGUCCAGGGUACACUGCCAUCCUAGGAAGAGAGUGAGGAGGAGGGUGAAAAAACUCACCCAGGAAAGGCAGUGAGGGGUGGGGAGGGAGCACAAAGAAAGUCACUUCAAAUCUCUCUCUAGAACUAUAUUGUUUUUCUGUGCAAAAAUAUUUUCUUCUGGCCCCUUUAUAGACUAGCUUGUAAAAACACUGCAAAGUGCUAUGAUUCUAAGGGUUCUGGAACCGAAGACAAAUCAUUAAAAGUUAGAUUCCAAA